AUGCUCCGCCGCCAGCGCCACUUCCUCCCGGCCAAGCCCCGCCGCCGCCCUCCGCCCCGCCCCAAACCCGCCGCCGAGCCCUCCGCCCCGACGUACACCCGCGACGUCGUCCGCCGCGUGACCAACAUACUCCGCGACCACCCCUGGUCGGCGGCGCGCCCGCUCCUCCUCUCCCUCCCGGGCCUCGUCUGGGACUCGCACGUCGUGGCGCGCGUCCUCAAGACCCACCCGCCCCUCCAGAAGGCCUUCCUCUUCUUCCGCCUCGCCGCCUCCUCCCCCACACCCGGGGCCGCCUUCCGCCACGACCGCUACACCUACACCUCCAUGCUCCACCUCCUCGGCGAGGCCGGCCGGGUCCCCGCCAUGCUCCGCCUGCUCGCCGAGAUGCUCCGCGCCGGGGUCGACCCCGACGCCGCCACGUUCACCACCGUCAUGCACUGGCUGGCGCGCGCCGGGGACGUGGACGCCGCGAUGCGGGUGUGGGAGGAGAUGCGCUCCCGCAGGGGGAAGUGCCGCCCCACGCUCGUCAGCUACACGGCCUGCGUCAAGAUCCUCUUCCACGCCGGGAGGGCCGCCGAGGGCAGGAGGGUGUUCGAGGAGAUGGUGGCCGAGGGGCUGCGGCCCAGCUGCACCACCUACACCGUGCUCAUCGAGCAUCUCGCUGACGCAGGAAAAUUCCAAGCUACUCUACAAAUUAUGAGUGACAUGCAAGAUGCAGGCGUAGAACCAGACAAGCCACUCUGCAAUAUUCUAGUCAAGAAGUGUGCCAGCGCUGGUGAGACGUCAGUGAUGACCUUCAUUCUUCAGCACAUGAAGGAGAAAGGCAUUGUUCUCCGUAGGCCUGUCUUUUUGGAAGCACUAGAAGCUCUAAAAGCUAGUGGUGAGAGCCCUAAUCUUCUUUGGGAAGUGAAUCCUCAUCUUGCAUCCGAAGGAAUGGAAUAUGACCCAACAUUUUCUCAUCGAAGCUACAUUACUUACAGAAGUACGAUUAUAUACCUUUUGGCUUCUAGAAACUGGUCUGCUAUCGAACAGAUGGUAAAUGAAUUGACCACGAGGAAUGUGAAGUUGGAAUCGCAUAUAAUAUCUGAUAUUAUUCAGGCCAGCUGCGCAAACUGCAGACCAUCAUGUGGACUCACAGUUCUGUACUAUAGCCUAAGAGUAGGCAGUGAACUUGACAGAUCUGCAUAUAGUUGCCUUCUUGGUCAGUACAUCAGAAAUAAUUCGUUUGAUUUGGUGUCUAAGAUUGUUGAAAGAUUGGUUAAACAUGGCUGCAAUCUUGGAGCAUAUCUGUUAUCUGUCUUAAUACUCAGACUGGGUUCUGCUGGGCAUUCUUCAUACGCGGCACAUAUCUUUGGGUUAUCACCUGCAGAGCAGAAUGUGAUUACCUACACUGCCCUUAUGAAUGCCUAUUUUCAAGCUGGCGAAGUUGAUAAGGCUCUUGAACUAUUCACACAGAUGAUAACUAAUGAGAUAUCUGCUUCUGCGGGUACAUAUGAAGUUCUGAUAUAUGGCUUACAAAAGGCUGGGCGGAAACAGGACUCUGACCGUUACCGAAGAGAAAGAAUGGAGAUGCAAUGGCAUCGUCAGUACCGUGACAAGCAUUCCCCUGAAGAUAGCUUAUGUGACCAUUUAUUUUGUGGCUUUCAUGGUUAG
rnacentral:rRNA from 1 species